AACAGUUAAAGUGAAAUAUGCUCCCUAUAGAUGGGCGAAUGACGUGAAAUAUGUAUAAACUUGAUGAAUAAGGGAUGGCAUUAUUCUAUUUAUUAUAUGUAGAUGCGACCACCAUAUGUUAUGCCAUCAGGGAUUAUGAAUAGUUUUUCCCCAUUUAGUAAUCAGAUGUAUAAUCAUGGAACUCAUGGAACCAUUUUGAGUCAGGGAUCAUCAAAUUCUUUUCAGUAUCCUAGGGUAAAUGAAUUGAACAAUUCUGAUGGAACACAAACAAAUGCUCCAAAGUAACGGCACAUAACUCUUAUCUAUUGCAUUGCGAUGCUUCUUGUGUUGUUGAUUCAUUUGUCCUUGUAAGCUCUUUCCUUCCCAAUGGUGGUCCAACUUUUUCCAUGGCUGUUUACCCAUCUGAGUUCGGGAUCCAGCGCAUGAAA